UGGGGAAUUUUGCACAAUGGGGGAAACCCUGAUGCCGCGACGCCGCGUGAUUUAGAAGGCCUUCGGGUUGUAAAAAUCUUUUCUAUGGGAAGAAAAUGACAGUACCAUAGGAAUAAGGACCGGCUAAUUACGUGCCAGCAGCCGCGGUAAUACGUAAGGUCCGAGCGUUGUCCGGAAUCAUUGGGCGUAAAGGGUACGUAGGCGGGUAAGCAAGUUAGAAGUGAAAUCCUAUAGCUCAACUAUAGUAAGCUUUUAAAACUGCUCAUCUUGAGGUAUGGAAGGGAGAGUGGAAUUCCUAGUGUAGCGGUGAAAUGCGCAGAUAUUAGGGGAAAUACCGGUGGCGAAGGCGACUUUCUGGCCAUAACCUGACGCUGUGGUACGAGAGCGUGGGUAGCAAACAGG
rnacentral:rRNA from 1 species